ACCAUUGGAGACAGCAGCGUGGCCACCACAGUCUCCUGACCUUUAUAUCCUCAAACCACUCUGGAGAGAUCUCAAACAUGCGGUUCAUGCAAGA